UCGUAACAAGGUUUCCGUAGGUGAACCUGCGGAAGGAUCAUUACUGAGUGAGGGCCCUCUGGGUCCAACCUCCCACCCGUGUUUAUUAUACCUUGUUGCUUCGGCGGGCCCGCCGUCAGGCCGCCGGGGGGCUUCUGCCCCCGGGCCCGCGCCCGCCGAAGACAUCUCGAACUCUGUCUGAAGAUUGUAGUCUGAGUAUAAAUAUAAAUUAUUUAAAACUUUCAACAACGGAUCUCUUGGUUCCGGCAUCGAUGAAGAACGCAGCGAAAUGCGAUACGUAAUGUGAAUUGCAGAAUUCAGUGAAUCAUCGAGUCUUUGAACGCACAUUGCGCCCUCUGGUAUUCCGGAGGGCAUGCCUGUCCGAGCGUCAUUGCUGCCCUCAAGCACGGCUUGUGUGUUGGGCCCCGUCCUCCGAUCCCGGGGGACGGGCCCGAAAGGCAGCGGCGGCACCGCGUCCGGUCCUCGAGCGUAUGGGGCUUUGUCACCCGCUCUGUAGGCCCGGCCGGCGCUUGCCGAUCAACCAAAUUUUUAUCCAGGUUGACCUCGGAUCAGGUAGGGAUACCCGCUGAACCU
rnacentral:misc_RNA from 1 species